GGGUUGUGAGGUUAAGCGACUAAGCGUACACGGUGGAUGCCCUGGCAGUCAGAGGCGAUGAAGGACGUGCUAAUCUGCGAAAAGCGUCGGUAAGGUGAUAUGAACCGUUAUAACCGGCGAUGUCCGAAUGGGGAAACCCAGUGUGAUUCGUCACACUAUCGUUAACUGAAUACAUAGGUUAACGAGGCGAACCGGGGGAACUGAAACAUCUAAGUACCCCGAGGAAAAGAAAUCAACCGAGAUUCCCCCAGUAGCGGCGAGCGAACGGGGAGCAGCCCAGAGUCUGAAUCAGCUUGUGUGUUAGUGGAACGGUCUGGAAAGUCCGACGGUACAGGGUGAUAGUCCCGUACACCAAAAUGCACAGGCUGUGAACUCGAAGAGUAGGGCGGGACACGUGGUAUCCUGUCUGAAUAUGGGGGGACCAUCCUCCAAGGCUAAAUACUCCUGACUGACCGAUAGUGAACCAGUACCGUGAGGGAAAGGCGAAAAGAACCCCGGCGAGGGGAGUGAAAAAGAACCUGAAACCGUGUACGUACAAGCAGUGGGAGCACCUUCGGGUGUGACUGCGUACCUUUUGUAUAAUGGGUCAGCGACUUAUAUUCUGUAGCAAGGUUAACCGUAUAGGGGAGCCGCAGGGAAACCGAGUCUUAACUGGGCGUUAAGUUGCAGGGUAUAGACCCGAAACCCGGUGAUCUAGCCAUGGGCAGGUUGAAGGUUGGGUAACACUAACUGGAGGACCGAACCGACUAAUGUUGAAAAAUUAGCGGAUGACUUGUGGCUGGGGGUGAAAGGCCAAUCAAACCGGGAGAUAGCUGGUUCUCCCCGAAAGCUAUUUAGGUAGCGCCUCGUGAACUCAUCUUCGGGGGUAGAGCACUGUUUCGGCUAGGGGGUCAUCCCGACUUACCAACCCGAUGCAAACUACGAAUACCGAAGAAUGUUAUCACGGGAGACACACGGCGGGUGCUAACGUCCGUCGUGAAGAGGGAAACAACCCAGACCGCCAGCUAAGGUCCCAAAGUCAUGGUUAAGUGGGAAACGAUGUGGGAAGGCACAGACAGCCAGGAUGUUGGCUUAGAAGCAGCCAUCAUUUAAAGAAAGCGUAAUAGCUCACUGGUCGAGUCGGCCUGCGCGGAAGAUGUAACGGGGCUAAACCAUGCACCGAAGCUGCGGCAGCGACACUAUGUGUUGUUGGGUAGGGGAGCGUUCUGUAAGCCUGCGAAGGUGACCUGUGAGGGUUGCUGGAGGUAUCAGAAGUGCGAAUGCUGACAUAAGUAACGAUAAAGCGGGUGAAAAGCCCGCUCGCCGGAAGACCAAGGGUUCCUGUCCAACGUUAAUCGGGGCAGGGUGAGUCGACCCCUAAGGCGAGGCCGAAAGGCGUAGUCGAUGGGAAACAGGUUAAUAUUCCUGUACUUGGUGUUACUGCGAAGGGGGGACGGAGAAGGCUAUGUUAGCCGGGCGACGGUUGUCCCGGUUUAAGCAUGUAGGCUGGUUGUCCAGGCAAAUCCGGAUAAUCAAGGCUGAGGUGUGAUGACGAGGCACUACGGUGCUGAAGUAACAAAUGCCCUGCUUCCAGGAAAAGCCUCUAAGCAUCAGGUAACAUCAAAUCGUACCCCAAACCGACACAGGUGGUCAGGUAGAGAAUACCAAGGCGCUUGAGAGAACUCGGGUGAAGGAACUAGGCAAAAUGGUGCCGUAACUUCGGGAGAAGGCACGCUGGUGUGUAGGUGAAGUCCCUGCGGAUGGAGCUGAGACCAGUCGAAGAUACCAGCUGGCUGCAACUGUUUAUUAAAAACACAGCACUGUGCAAACACGAAAGUGGACGUAUACGGUGUGACGCCUGCCCGGUGCCGGAAGGUUAAUUGAUGGGGUUAUCCGUAAGGAGAAGCUCUUGAUCGAAGCCCCGGUAAACGGCGGCCGUAACUAUAACGGUCCUAAGGUAGCGAAAUUCCUUGUCGGGUAAGUUCCGACCUGCACGAAUGGCGUAAUGAUGGCCAGGCUGUCUCCACCCGAGACUCAGUGAAAUUGAACUCGCUGUGAAGAUGCAGUGUACCCGCGGCAAGACGGAAAGACCCCGUGAACCUUUACUAUAGCUUGACACUGAACAUUGAGCCUUGAUGUGUAGGAUAGGUGGGAGGCUUUGAAGCGUGGACGCCAGUCUGCGUGGAGCCAACCUUGAAAUACCACCCUUUAAUGUUUGAUGUUCUAACGUUGGCCCCUUACCGGGGUUGCGGACAGUGUCUGGUGGGUAGUUUGACUGGGGCGGUCUCCUCCCAAAGCGUAACGGAGGAGCACGAAGGUUAGCUAAUCCUGGUCGGACAUCAGGAGGUUAGUGCAAUGGCAUAAGCUAGCUUGACUGCGAGCGUGACGGCGCGAGCAGGUGCGAAAGCAGGUCAUAGUGAUCCGGUGGUUCUGAAUGGAAGGGCCAUCGCUCAACGGAUAAAAGGUACUCCGGGGAUAACAGGCUGAUACCGCCCAAGAGUUCAUAUCGACGGCGGUGUUUGGCACCUCGAUGUCGGCUCAUCACAUCCUGGGGCUGAAGUAGGUCCCAAGGGUAUGGCUGUUCGCCAUUUAAAGUGGUACGCGAGCUGGGUUUAGAACGUCGUGAGACAGUUCGGUCCCUAUCUGCCGUGGGCGCUGGAGAAUUGAGGGGGGCUGCUCCUAGUACGAGAGGACCGGAGUGGACGCAUCACUGGUGUUCGGGUUGUCAUGCCAAUGGCACUGCCCGGUAGCUAAAUGCGGAAGAGAUAAGUGCUGAAAGCAUCUAAGCACGAAACUUGCCCCGAGAUGAGUUCUCCCUGAGACUUUAAGUCUCCUGAAGGAACGUUGAAGACGACGACGUUGAUAGGCCGGGUGUGUAAGCGCAGCGAUGCGUUGAGCUAACCGGUACUAAUGAACCGUGAGGCUUAACCUUACAACGCCGAAG
rnacentral:rRNA from 1 species